CCCCCCCACCAAGCCCUGCUUUGCUGGGCGGGUCCUCCGCAUCUAGAGAGGACACUAACUGCUUCCUCUAAGGAAAUGACAUCACUCUACACAACAACAAAAAUACUGACCACAUAAGCAAAGUAAAACAAGAGUCCAUUACAGUAAGGUGCAAAGGGAAAUUAACAUUCCCCUGCACAGGCUGUGGGUGGGGCUUCUGCACAUUAUGGGAUUCACACAGUGAGACAGUUUCACUUUCACUGAAGGAUGCUUCACGUUCCUCCUCAAAAGCAGAAGUUACCACAGCUAUGUUCACUCUGAAACAUGCAGGUGGUUUUCAGACACAUCUGGCAGACACCCAAUGACGGGAGCACCCUGUUACCACGAUUCAAAAUGAGGGGUUAAGGGACGACCCCCGCGAAGACCACGGCUGUCAUCCUGACAGGCAGAAGGUGAGGAAGGACGGGAUCGUUAACCUCGGCGUUGACACCAGCACGUCUCAUUUGCCCGAAUUAGAUGAUGAUUUUACAACAGAACGACUAGCAUGCUUUAUGAAUAUUGAGUGAAUUUCCCUGUUAAAUUUGUUUCAAAUACAAAUUGUCGGAAAUGAAACUUUCGUUGUAUUUUAAUAAGGUUAAAUAAUGAGAAAAUACAUUUACUCAUAUUGGCAUGGUAUUAGAAUCUGGUAUUGUUAAGUGUCUAUUUUCUUUAGCGUCUAAUUUAAUGGUAAUUACAGAUAUUUUGAAAUGAAAACUCUUAUUUAUUGUUGCCCGUCAUUCCUCCACCGACUAGACUUUGCAUCCCCCCCCAAUAAUUUUUUUGUUAUUCACUUUUUGCCCUAGCUCACUGAAGCCGGAAUAAUUGACUGUUAAAAGAAACACAAGAAAUGUUCCUCCCGCGGAGCAAAGGGGAACUCGUUAAUGUGUCUGGGUGGACAAACAUUACAAUAAGAACGAGAGAGUGAAAGAAAAUGUUGGGGCAUUUUAUAACAGGAACUGCAGCAAGCUACCCGUGAGUUUACUCAUGUAUAGGGACAGUUGAUUGUCUUUGAUAAUUAUCUGUAAAAUGUAAUAAUACGUUUUUGUGUUAGCGCGCCCAUCAUAAUCCAAAUUUAGCACUCUACGUAUGGCAAAAGACGAUGCUUAUGGGCUUCUAUAGCGGAAUGUAUAGGCCCGCAUCUUCUAUAACCACUUACCAGUUUGGGGUCACAGAGUUUCUGGAAUCUAUCACAAGAUGCAAUUUAGAGACAUUAAAUCAAAUAACCGCAUGUUUUAGACUGCUGGAGGAAUUUGGACUGAGGUAAACGGUGCGAACAUGAAGGGAACAUUACACUGAACUAGCAACCCCUACACUCAGAAAAAAGGGUAAAAAUUUGUACCUUUGCUUGUCACUGGGACUGUACUCUUGUAAUAAAGAAAUGGACUCUGAAGAACAUUCCAUUUAUUCUGACGAACAGCAUUAAUGCACCGUCAACAGUACAGAAAUGUUCCUUUAUGUACCUUAAAAGGUAUACUUAGUUACAGCUAAGGGUACAAUUGGCAGACCCUUUAGGGUACAGCCCCAGUGACAAGUAAUAGUACCCUGAAAGGUACAAAUUGUUACUUUUUUUCUGACAGUGUACGGAAUAUUGUGACAAAAUGCAAUGAUAUAGGUGAAAACCGGAGAUAUACAAUGUGAAAAAUGAGCAGACAGUGCAAACAUAAGCAGUGUUCAGCCGAGGUACCAAGUUGUGUGUGGAACAGGGUUGAGUGGGCGAUUAGCACUGUAAUGCAGCCUACAUCUUUAUAUAGAGAACCUGAGCAAAUUUUGGCAGCAAUAUACUGCUGAAGAAUUCAAACCUACAACCCUUCUCUUUCUAAUCCAGAUGUCUGAUAUUCUGAAUGUAACUAGAGUGAACCUACAACCAUCCAUCCAACUACUACCCAUCCAUCCGUCGACUGUUAGUAACAAUGAGUUAUAGAUUUUUUCCAGUGUUCAUUCUAGAAAACAGUGCACAAGAUGGGAUGAACCCUGGACUUACAUACAUUCUCGAUGUGACGCAGUAAGGAGUCAUCAGCACACUGUCAAAUUCACGUGGACUGUUCGCGGUGUGCUGUCACGAAAUCCUCUUUUUUUUCUCCAUACAUGGCGCUGUACACGAAAACAGCGCAUGCUUAUGCUGGCAAAUCAUAAACCCCUUUUCAUCGUGAUCAGCCAGGUCAGUCAACAAUAGAGAUAGGCAUUACUAUUACAAUACUAUUUGUUAUGGAUCGUGUACGUGCCCGGAGCACAGAUAAACAGGGCAGGAUUCCAGGGAUCAGGAACAAGGGUUUUAAUGGCA